rnacentral:rRNA from 1 species
GACGGAGGGGGCAAGCGUUGUCCGGAAUCACUGGGCGUAAAGCGCCCGUAGGCGGUUGGGUGCGUCGGUGCUGAAAGCGCCGGGCUUAACCCGGCGAGGCGUGCCGAUACGACCCGACUAGAGGUAGGCAGAGGGUGGCGGAAUUCCGGGUGUAGUGGUGAAAUGCGUAGAGAUCCGGAGGAACGCCGGUGGUGAAGACGGCCACCUGGGCCUAACCUGACGCUGAGGGGCGAAAGCGUGGGGAGCAAACCGG